CACCGCGGUCAUACGAUUAACCCAAAUUAAUAGGCAACGGCCGUAAAGCGUGUUAAAGAAUGCUCAUCACACAAAUAAAGAUAAAACUUAACUAGGCUGUAGAAAGCAACAGUUAAAACUAAAAUAUACUACGAAAGUGACUUUAUUAUAGCUGAUUACACGAUAGCUAAGAUC
rnacentral:rRNA from 1 species